UACGUAGGGCGCAAGCGUUGUCCGGAAUUAUUGGGCGUAAAGAGCUCGUAGGCGGUUUGUCGCGUCUGCUGUGAAAUCCCGAGGCUCAACCUCGGGCUUGCAGUGGGUACGGGCGGACUAGAGUGCGGUAGGGGAGACUGGAAUUCCUGGUGUAGCGGUGGAAUGCGCAGAUAUCAGGAGGAACACCGAUGGCGAAGGCAGGUCUCUGGGCCGCAACUGACGCUGAGGAGCGAAAGCAUGGGGAGCGAACAGG
rnacentral:rRNA from 1 species